GAUGAAGAACGCAGCGAAAUGCGAUAAGUAAUGUGAAUUGCAGAAUUCAGUGAAUCAUCGAAUCUUUGAACGCACAUUGCGCCCGCUAGUAUUCUGGCGGGCAUGCCUGUUCGAGCGUCAUUUCAACCAUCAAGCCCCAGGCUUGUGUUGGGGGCCUGCGGCUGCCGCAGCCCCUGAAAAGCAGUGGCGGGCUCGCUGUCAUUCCGAGCACAGUAGUUACAUCUCGCUCCGGGCGUGGCGGUGGGCACCUGCCGUGAAACACUCCUUCUAAGGUUGACCUCGGAUCAGGUAGGAAUACCCGCUGAACUUAAGCAUAUCAAUAAGCGGAGGA
rnacentral:misc_RNA from 1 species